UCAAAUAAUACCAAAACAUGACACAGGGGCGGCACAGGGGUCUGAGAAUCAGAUGGAGAGUGGGUGGUUGGUUGGGGUUACAGGAUGAAAUGAAGUGGAGAUACAUUUAAUUCAACAAACUAGAAAUGUAACCAAUAAAAAAGUUGUAGAAUUUUGUAACGACCACAUAUAAAAAAAAAACGCCUGGUGCUAAAAAAUGCACGAAAAUUCUGGUGAGGCGUCAAAAUUCUUGCACCCCUCUCAGCCAACCCUACUCGAUGCCCACAUUGCUCCAAAUGAACCCACAAGAAUCCUGUCACCGUCACAGAACCCACCUACAAAGUAGAAAGGAAAAACACAGAGAAAACGAGAGAGAGAGAGAGAGAUUUUCGAGAAUACUUCGACAACGAUAAUCUCAUAGAUCUAGUGUCGAAACAACCAACCCACACUAUGAAAAGGAUCACUGACGACUGCACGUAUGUAGGAGGUGCAUACAACCAGAAGCACUCCGUGGGAAGCAAAGAAGAAGGGUCAACGACGAAGAACCAAAGGAAAAACGGCAAGAAACGAACAUCGGAGCAUCGUUUCAAAGGAGAGAGAAAAUUAAUCAAAAAACUUGAGGGAAACAAGCAAAGAAGACGAAGUCCAUGGACUUUGGGUCGAACCUAAAUUUGUUACCCAGCUACAGUCCGUUACUGACACUAUUCUACCUCAACCCAAACAAAUCACUUGCAACCCAUUCUGCCUCAGCCCUAACCAGGCGUCUGUAGCCCGAUCGACACCCGAGUAGCUGAGGCGCGACUUGCUACAACCCACGCAUCAGCCCACACCUGCAGCACCCUAGUACUGCACUGCAAUCUGUGACCCACAUACGCGUAACGACUCGCGCCUCGACCUAAAGUCACCAACAGCCACGUCAGCCUCUAAUGGCACACCUGCAGUACAACACUUACUCGGUUAAGUUGGCUUAAAUGGCUUGGCUCAACUCUCCGACUCAAAACUCGCUCCUUCGACUCAGUAAAGGGAAAACUAGCUAAUUUCCAUAGUUCUGACCAUCUCGAAGUUGAACUUGAGUUUAUUUAAGGCAAAUAAGGUCAGUAAGGGUAAAUUUCUCGAUUUAAAUUCGACUGAGUUAAGAAUUCUUAGAUUACUAACGAAACGGGAUGAAUAUUUUAAUAGAAAAUGAUGACCGAUGAUAAUUGAAGUAAUUUCAAGGAACGGGAGCGAAUGUGCUCGAAUUAGGGAAAACGUCAGCUAAGGCCAACCAAACAAGUGGCCCUACCAUCGUUCGGUUAUAAUUUUGUGUUGUAUGAUGGUGUGUGUUCAUGGCUCGCCGUGUUAUAUGCCUGUAUAUGCAAACUGUUAUAAAAUGAUAUGUAUAUAUUAUGAUACGUGAAUGUUAUGUUGUA